UUGAUUGUGAUGAGGUUGAAUCCCUUGGAGACGACGUGGAAUUAUUGGAUGAGGUAUCAUGAUGACCUAUCAUUGGUCUUGAAAAUUCAAAAUCAUGUGGGCCAUUUGAAGAUCUUGACCAAUUAUUGGGAUAGAUGUCAAGACUUUGCAAAGAUACAUUAGAUUGAUGACUUUUGGCUCUAUCUCGGGAUGGUCCAAUAACAGGACCAUUACUACUUUGAUAUGAGAGCC
rnacentral:lncRNA from 1 species